rnacentral:rRNA from 1 species
UACGGAGGGGGCGUAGCGUUGUUCGGAAUUACUGGGCGUAAAGGCGCACGGCUAGGCGGCGAUCAAGUCAGAUGUGGAAAGUCCUGGGCUUAACCUGGGGACUGCAUUUGAUACUGAUUGGCUUGAAUGCAGGAGAGGAUAGCGGAAUUCCCAGUGUAGAGGUGAAAUUCGUAGAUAUUGGGAAGAACACCGGUGGCGAAGGCGGCUAUCUGGACUGUGAUUGACGCUGAGGCGCGAAAGCGUGGGGAGCAAACAGG